AAAGGAUUAGUUAAAAUAUAACAUAAGCUUGUCGAGCUUGGGUUGCCUUGGUGGCAUUCUUUU
rnacentral:tRNA from 1 species